GCCUUUAACGAAGGACAAAUUUUCUCUAGUCCAAUGGAAUAUUGUGCUAGAUAGAUACUAACGACCAAGAAUAACCUUCGGCUCUUGCAUAAUUUUUCGCUAACUUACCGGUGUUUUCUGUUAAAACGUAUGCUGUUUUAAUCAGGUCAGGAAUUGGAAGUCCAAAUCGAAUGAUCCAUUGUAAAGAGCGAUGCUUUUCUGUAUUCAUCUAUACUCAUAGACAGGACCUAUUUAUUUUUUCAAUUAAUACGAAAUUUGUUAGAAAAUGGCAAAGUUUGAAUGUAUUAAAAUGUUUGUGUAAAAUAAAAAAUUAGCAUUUGUAUAUUUAUUGAUGUGAAACUACAACGAAAAA